rnacentral:rRNA from 1 species
GACGAACGCUGGCGGCGUGCUUAACACAUGCAAGUCGAACGAAGUGGAGAACGGGUGAGUAAUACGUGGGUAACCUGCCCUCCUUUUUGGGAUAAGCCUUGGAAACGGGGUCUAAUACCGAAUAAAGGGGGAUGGGCUCGCGGCCUAUCAGCUUGUUGGUGGGGGGAUGGCCUACCAAGGCGGUGACGGGUAGCCGGCCUGAGAGGGUGACCGGCCAGAUUGGGACGGGGAUACGGGCCAGGUUCCUACGGGAGGCAGCAGUGGGGGAGAGGGCACAAUGGGGGAAAGGCUGAUGGAGGGGCGCCGCGUGGGGGAUGAAGGGUUUGGGGUUGUGAACCGCGUUCGAUGGCGAAGGGGUAGGUGGAGAAGAAGCGCCGGCGAACUACGUGCCAGCAGCGGGGGUAAUUG